CAGGCACAGCAGGGAAGAAGCUGAUCCAGACAGCAUAGAGGCAACUCAUUCUCUACAACCAGGAAAUUGGGUAGUGGUGAAACGACACGUGCGGAAAGUUCUAGAACCACGAUUUGAGGGUCCACAUCAAGUACUGUUAACCACCGCCACUGCUGUCAAGUUGGAAGGAAAGCCUAAUUGGGUCCACGCAUCACACUGCAAAAAAGUACCAGAACCUCAAGUGCUGGAAUGACUGCAAGGGCCGUAAUA